GGUUUGUCCCUCCUUUUCCAGCGCCUCUUGGAAGCUUAAGACCUCGGCGAUCUUCUCCUCAAGGCGGGCGGCCCCGGUUAGGUGACCCUCUUCUGCCCGAGCUGCCUCCUUCUUGGCGAUCUUCGCCGCCUUGACAUUGGCGACGAGCUGGUGCCCAAUCUGCAAGAAAGGUCGGAGAGUUGACAUAAGGGCUGAAAAAUAAAUUAAAGAAGUA
rnacentral:lncRNA from 1 species